AAAGUAUCACAAACCGCCAUGCCACGUUUACAAAUUUCCGCCGCGAUUUUAUUUUUUCACACAGAAAUUGUUGGUUAAAUCUGUUUGAAAAUUUCUCUGAAUUGUAUCGACAGUACAAAGAAAAUUCAGUGAAAUUUUCAGACAUCUUCGUUGAAAAAUUUCUCUGUAAAAAAAUAAAAUGGCGGCGGAAAUUUUUAAACGUCACAUGGCACUUGCGAUACUUUGACCAAAGGUGACAAGCUUUAAUUUGUGAUUUUUGAAAUUUCAUAUCGUAGAACCAGUUUUAGAUAGAGCUGCCGAUUUUUUUUCACACACGAAACUGUUACUGCAGAACGCUUUUUUUUAAAAAAAAAAUGUGAGGUAGGUACUUUAUUACUGAAGGGUACUUUUACAUACUUCAAGGAACCAUUGAGAACUGACCAUAUUUCCCUCAAAAGAUCGUGGGGUUCUAUAAUACGUCAUCAACCACAUAGCCUCCCUGCAUUGUUGCGCGCAUUCUCCGUCCGAGAGCUGCAGCAGUGCAGCGUACGUUGCACCGGUGAGCCGGUUUGUGGAAUUUCGGGAGGGGUUGUUUCUACACGGUUGCAACCUUUUACUCUCCUUUUUUAAGGUUAGAGUAAAGAUAUUCACUCUUAUCAGGAUACUCUUGCUAUCAGUGGUUUUGCAUUCGUGGUGUAUAUGUAAUUCGUGUGCAUUUGGUGUGCGAAGCUAAAACUUCUACUUUAAAAAAGGAUCAAGGAAUAAAACAUGCGGGACGAUCCUUUGCAGCCAGUGCCAUGGACGAGGAUGGAAGAGCUUUUGGAGAAACUGCUGUCAGAUGUACCCAAUUCGCUCACAGUGUAUGGAAUGGUGCAAACAGCUUUACUGUGGAAACAAACCGAAGUCUCUCAUCGUUUGGCAUGUACACCACCAGUGAUCGGUUUGAGGGAGCUGCAAUAGUCGGAAUUUUUAAAAUUUCUGACUCUCAUGACUACAGAGUGACGGUCUAUUGCUUCGGAGAAGACACUUCAAUGUUGCAGGAGGCCCUGCUGAGGACAAAUCGGAUCAAAUGGAACUCACCAGAAUCGACGAUAUUCUUCACAGCCAUCCCCGAAAAACUCCUGCCAGUCGUGCAGCGGUGUGUUUCGGGCCAGGGUUUUGGCAUUGUACAGACAGAAAAUAUAGUUUAUCAGUGGAAAACUCCCGAUCACCUGAAUUCCUUGAAUUACUCAUGUCCGCCGGAAGUUCGCGUGGCGCCCCUGGGUCUCGAGUACGUGGAACUAAUCCGGAAAAACUGGUCGAAUCUCCCCGCUUCGGCCGAGUACAUCGAGAUGCUGAUCAAGCAAAACAUCAACUUGGGCGUCUACUCGCGUGCCACGGGGAGCUCUGCGCCUGGGUGUUAUGCAACGAGUUCUGCGCCCUGACCAUGAUGCACACCAUGGAGAAUCAUCGACGCAAAGGCUACGCGCAGCUCUUGUGCAACGCCAUGAGUGAGCGCCUCCUUCGCGCGGGCAUAAUCGCCAGGGCUGUCGUCAUGGAAGAGAACAGACCCUCCUGAAGCUUUUCGAGUCCCAUAAAUUUAGGUCCAGCCGUGAUUUCUUCAUUUAUGUUCUUGCGAUGCCUCGUCGGGCUGUGGACAGUGGACAGUGGGAGAUUUAAAAUGCAAAAAAUGAUUAUCGAUAGUUGAGCGCAUAAUCCAUCUUCAUUGGGACAAUUUAUAGAAGGAAAAAGAAACAAUUUGUUUAAGGCUCUGAUCGAUUGAUUAGGGUUAGGUUUGGAGUGUGGCUGUGCAAACUUUAAUUAAGGGGCUUGGAGGACAAAGGCGCAUAAGUGCAGUUUUUGCUAAUUCGAGAAAUACGUGUUUGAAGCUCCGAAAUUACGUGGAUCCUUAUGGCGGAAAGAAGUUCAAACUGACUUUUUGAUGCUUAAACAUUGGACUUUGGGAGCGAAUUUUUCCUAGGAUGUGCAUUUUUUUAUAUAAGAAAAUUGUACAGUGGCAUAGACUAGUUUACUUGAAAUUAUUAAUAACUCAAUUUUUUCAAAAACUGCACUUAUGCGCCUUUUCCUCCAAGCUCCUCACUUUUACAACCUUGCCAUAAAUUAAUUACAUUUAUAAGGAACCACUAUUUCUGGCUUAUCCAUAGAAGCGCCUACAUACAUAUGGAAACUUAUGGUGCAUACAUUGUUUCUAAAACGAGUCAAAAGUAGUAGUCCCUCAUCGCAGAAUGUAGUCCAAAUGGAUGACAGAGCAGAGAAAAGAUCUGACUUGAUCUGAAGAAGAUAGAGAGUUUUCUUGAAAAUGGACUUAUUUUGCGCAGCGCUCCAAAACUUCCGAAAUGCGUGACGAAAAAAACUAUAUUUUGUAUGGGAAUGAAAAACUUUCAACGGCGCGGCGUCUGGUUUUUCAUGGGGUCUUGCGUGGUUCCUGCAAAUGCAAUGUUUUUUGCUUUGAAGUAACAGCACAACGCCCUCUUUUCAUUUCGUCCUCGCCUCGGUCUAAUAUAACUCACCAUUCCUGAACCACUGCACUUACUUCUUAUUUUCAAUGCUCCUGAUGCAGAUGAACUUUGUUUAUUGAGUACACUCGAAUGAAUCGGAAUACUGGAGAGAAAGUAACUCACGAUAUUUUGUAUUUUAAUGGCCAAUGGCUUUGAUUUUAAGGAAAGCAGGAUCCAACCAUAAUCGGUUUUUUUUUUUUUUUUUCAUUUUAAUGAUUACAUGUACCUCCAAAUACACAAACACACAAAUUCAUAAUACUCAUUUCAAUAUUGGAUCUCCGUGUUUGCCCGGUACUUUUAGACUUUAUGAAGUUUCAAUAGUUCUCAUAUUGUUGCAACUAUUUGAACAUUAACUGUUUAUUAGAAAUUAUUUAUCAUCUAUUUAUAUAUGUACUGUUAAUUUUAAAUUACUCACUUCGACUUUACAAGUUAUUUACUAUCUGUAUUAAUGAUAUUCACAAAUAUAUAUUUUAUGUAUGUUUAUUACGUAUGAUAAAUCUUGACGCUCUUUGCAUGAACGUCAUCUGUUUGUAAUAAAUGCAAAACCAAAGCUUUCAUAUGAUAUGUAACAGAUGUUUGAGCAAUAUACUCAUUUUUAGAAUAUUUCAAUACGAUGUUUGAAUGAUUUUUGUUGGUGUUCAAAUCAUACAACUGUCUCUCGGAAAUGAUUCGAUGGCGAUUAAAGUUACUUCAAGAUUAUAGACACGAAAUAUUUGCUGGACUGAUUCUUGAUGUAAAAAUAAUCCCUUUUUUAGUAGUAUAUACAAAACUUCUCUCCUCAAAAAAAUUCAAGGGCUACGUCCAGGUCGCCUCCUGACCGCUAAGCGGUUCAACCUGCCAAAGUGCUUCGCGCCUUAAGCAUUGUGCGAUAUGUGUUAAUAUUAUCAUAUUAUUUUAUCGAGUAAGGUAUCUUUCCUCUAACCUUUAAUUAAAAGAAAACUAAUUAUGUUCCAUUUUUUAUGGGGGUGUAAAAUGACACAUACUUAAAAUUACUUCCGAAAAGCGAUUUUAUCCUUACACUGGAUCUAUAAAUGAGGGGCUUGGAGGGCAAGGCACAUAAUGCAGCUUUCGAAAAAGUUGAGAUAUCAAUGAUUUUAAGUAAAAGUUGUCUUAAUGCAUAUGCUGUGAAAAAUUCUGUCCCCAAGUCCAAUUAUUAAGCGUCAAAAAGACAGUUUGAACUUUCUUUUCACCAUAAGGAUCCAUGU
rnacentral:lncRNA from 1 species